AGUGUUAAACUUCAGCUCGAGAGGCACUUAGUGUCACAGAAGCCUAGAUAAAGAAACAAGAUUUCAAGCAGGAAGAAAUAAUAAAAUAAAGAGGCCGGACUUCAAGUGUCCUGUGAAACAGAGCAUUCGGCCUCCGGCAUACACAUCCGUGGGAGACGGCUCAACUUCUUUAUAAAGUGAGGAACCAAAUUGUGAAGACAUCUGUUCUGUUAUUAAUUUCACAUACAUCUUAAGCUCCUCAAGGCCAGAAAUGAGGCUUCAUUCACGUCGAAUUAAUGAAACAUGAUUGAACAAGGGCCUGAUGUGCGGCUGCCUGAGGCUUUUGGAGAACUGGCUGUCCUGCUCCUCAGAAGCAGGUACAUUUUCACCCCAUCCUGGGCUCCAUGUUCCUGCAGCGCACACGUCAGGAAUGCUGCUAAUUUAGCGUCUGGCUUCCAGACUCAGACGUCAAAACAACCACCUUUCAUCUCAGGCUGGUACUGCCCAUAAAGGCUGGUGCUCCAGCAGCCAUCUUGAGAAAUGCAGCAAUGACGCUGAGUGGCAAGUCAGAAGGCACAGGGUCCCUGCACCCGAGGAGAGCCACUCCAAACCUGGACCACAGACCUUAAGAUCACACCAGGGAGAAGUAAAGCUCUGUUUUGCUGAAGCCACUGCUGUUUUGGGGGAUCCCAUCUCUUGCAGCAAAUUCUAACCUGAAAUAAAACCUUAAUUCAA